rnacentral:tRNA from 2 species
CGGGGCGUGGCGCAGCCCGGCUAGCGCGCUUGCAUGGGGUGCAAGAGGUCCCGGGUUCGAAUCCCGGCGCCCCGA